rnacentral:rRNA from 1 species
UACAGAGGGUGCAAGCGUUAUUCGGAAUUAUUGGGCGUAAAGCGCGUGUAGGCGGCUUUGCAAGUCGGGUGUGAAAGCCCUCAGCUCAACUGAGGAAGUGCGCCCGAAACUGCAGAGCUUGAGUACCGGAGAGGAUGGCGGAAUUCCCCAAGUAGAGGUGAAAUUCGUAGAUAUGGGGAGGAACACCGGUGGCGAAGGCGGCCAUCUGGACGGAUACUGACGCUGAUGCGCGAAAGCUAGGGGAGCAAACGGG